rnacentral:lncRNA from 1 species
UUGAGGUUUAAGGUUUAAGGUUUAUAGUUUAUAUAUGUUUUAUGAUUUAGGGUUUAUAUGUUCUAUGGUUCAGGGUUUAAGGAAUAUGGCUGAGUUAGGGGUUUAGGGAUUAUGGUGCAAUGGUUAGGGUCUAAGGUUUAAGUGUUUAGGGUUAAAGGUUAGGGGUUAGGGGUUAAGGGUUAGGGGUUUAUAGUUAAUGUUUUAUGAUUGAAGGUUUAGGGGAUAUGGUUAAGGUUAUAUAUGUAUUAUGGUUUGUGGUUUAUCAUUUGAGGUUGGGGCUUAGGGUGUAGGUGUUAAGGGGUUAAGGGUCAUGGUUUAUGAUUUAUAGGUUUAAAAUUUAGGGUUGAAGGGAUAAGAGGGUUUAGGUUAAUUUAGGGUUAAGGGUUAAGUGUUUAGUGUUAAGGGUUAAGGGUUUAAGGUUUAAGGUUUAAGGUUUAAGAAAUAGAGUUUACGAUUUAGGGUUUAGGGGAUAGAGGUUGUGGUUUACGGUCUAGGUUAUUUAGUAUUUUUGAAAAUUACAACUUGACUUUACCGAAUUUAAUUUUUAAAUUGAUGUUUUAGAAAAAUACAAACACUAUCUACGGAUUAAGUUCCUACCUUAAAUUUUAAUAAAAAACCAUCACUAAAAAUCAAAUUUCCCAUUUAAUAGAAUUAAAAAUAAUAUUGUCAUAUUGUUGUAUGAUAUUUCAUUUUUUUAAAUUAUUAAAUAUUUGGAAAUUAUUUACGCUAGUGGCGUUUCGGCCAGAAACGCCGCAAAAAUGUGUUUAAAAUUACGUAAAACGGCGCCGUUUGGCUACAGGAAUUUGAAUUUUAGUGGCUUUUUUCAUAAAAACGCCACUGAAGGUAUGCUAUAGUGGCGUUUUAUAUUGAAACGCCGCAAAUCCAUAAAUGUUUGUCUGUACAAAAACGGCGUCGUUUUCUUAAAUGAUUUGAACUCCUUACUGGCGUUUUUAUUUAAAAUUCCGCAAACUGUGAUCUUUAGCGGUGUUUGAUAUGGAAACGCCACAAAUGUGUAUUACAAAAUGUUCAGAACGUCACCGUUUCGUUACAUGAAUUUGAAUUUUAGUGGCGUUUUUAUGAAAAACGCCACAGAAGGUAUACAGUAGUGGCGUUUUUAUAGAAACGUCGCAAAUCCAUAUAUGUUUUUGUGAACAAAAACAGCGUCGUUUUCUUAAAUGAUUUGAACUCGUUAGUGGCGUUUGUAUUUAAAACGCCGCAACUAUAAGCUUUAGCGGCGUUUAGUAUGAAAACGCCACAAAUGUGUAUUACAAAAUGUUCAGAACGUCGCCGUUUCGGUUGAGGAACAAUUCUGUUAUUCAGAACGUCGUCGUUCUGCUUGGCGUCACAUAUUUUUCCCCUUUCGAACCCUAAAACCCGUACCCAGCCCCUAAACUCAGCUUCCUUCCCCUUCCCCUUCCAAAUCCCUAAUUUCCUUUCGAAAUCUCCUCCACUCCUCUAAUUCCAGAAAUUGACGGAGUCAUUUAGUUUAUUCGGUUCUUCAUUUCGUCGGUAUAGUGCGUUCAAUUCUUCAUAGCAUUUAGAGGAAGACGAACAGUGGAAUAGUUUUUGGGGUAAGCAUGAACCGGUUUGAUUUCCCUCUUUUUUUUCGUGUUUAGGGUUCAAUAUCGUUAACAAUCCAUUUCGUCCAUGGAUUUAGGGUUGCCGAACACAUAAAACAGUGUCAUUUUUUAGUACGGUGGAAUCACAUCCGGCCCGAUUUACUUUCUCUCCGUCUUCGUUUAGGUAUGAAAUUCGGCUCUCUUAAAUCUAGCUUUACGGAUUUAUUUUGUUUAGGGUUUUAAGCAGUAACUGUCUUACAUUUUGACAGAGGAAUGGUAUGCUUUCGAAUGCCUAAGUAAUUUUUGUAUGUAUAUAUUUUUUUAAUUUGUUUGUGAUUAAAGUUAAUUGAUUAAUUAAAAACGAUUUUGUAGCAUAUUGUAAACCUUGUUUUGUAUUUCUAAUUGUUUUUGUUUAAAGGAGUCAGGACGUUUGUGAAGUCUUUCUAUUUAGGUUUAAUCAGUAUAAAAUUUAAGAAAAUUUUAUAUAUAAAAUACGCUGUUAUAAUAUUUUGAUUUAGAUAAUUUGACAGUUGAUUUUUCACUUAAGUUCAUGUAAAUUUGUUUUAGUUAUGAAGUUGAACAAGUUUAGUUUUUCCUUAGUUAAUUUUUUCUUUCCUUCGGUUGCAGCAUUUUAGUUUUGGCAAUCUAGUCUGCAAAUUUGGUACCUCUCACUGGUUUGAAACAAUACAUAGAAAGGGUAGAUAACCAGAAGGUAAGUUGAUCCUUUAUCUUAUUCGUUUUUUUGUUUUAUAAAUUGACAUGUGAUUUUGGACUGUUUUUAUAAUUGGUAUAUUUGUAGUUGGGACUGUUAUAAUUUGGUAUUUGGUUAAUGCGGCUGUAAGUUCUUUUUUGCUGGAAGUUCUGCUUAAUGUUGCUGAUUAAUGUUAGGGAUUAAAAUCAAUUGAGUUCUUUUUUUGCUGCACAUUGUGGUUAAUGUUGCUGCUUAUUGUAUUUAUUUCUAGUUAUUGUUCUGGUCUUGAAGAUGUUUUUUGCUCCAUCUUUCUACUAAGUGUUUGAAUUAAUUUCUGUUAUGGAAUAUAAUUGCAACUAUUAUACAGUAUUCCCAUGGUUUGUAAAGAUC